GAGGAAAAGAAACUAACAAGGAUUCCCCUAGUAACGGCGAGUGAAGCGGGAAGAGCUCAAAUUUAAAAUCUGGCAGGCUACGCUUGUCCGAAUUGUAAUCUCGAGAAGUGUUUUCCGCGUUGGCCUGUGUACAAGUCCCUUGGAACAGGGCGUCAUAGAGGGUGAGAAUCCCGUCCUUGACACAGACACCCAAUGCUUUGUGAUACACUCUCAAUGAGUCGAGUUGUUUGGGAAUGCAGCUCAAAAUGGGUGGUAAAUUCCAUCUAAAGCUAAAUACUGGCGAGAGACCGAUAGCGAACAAGUACCGUGAGGGAAAGAUGAAAAGCACUUUGGAAAGAGAGUCAAACAGUACGUGAAAUUGUUGAAAGGGAAACGAUUGAAGUCAGUCGUGCCUGCCUAGUCUCAGCCUUUUGGUGUACUACUAGGUCGGCAGGUCAGCAUCAGUUUGGGAGGAUUAACAAGGGAGCUAGGAAUGUGGCAACCUCGGUUGUGUUAUAGCCUAGUUUCGCAUUGAUCUUGCUGGACUGAGGAACGCAGUGCGCCCGCAAGGGUUGGUCUUCGGACACAUUCGCACUUAGGAUGCU
rnacentral:rRNA from 1 species